CGCCAAAUCACAAAGUCUCCUCCCUGUUUGUACUGUAAGGUCAAAACCCUACAGUACUACAGAGAACCCCAACAAUCAAAUGAUCCCCCUUUGAGCAAGCACUAGGCAACAGUGGGGAAGAAAAACUCCAUUUAACAGGAAGAAACUUCCAACGGAACCGGGCUCAGGAAGGGGCGGCCAUCCGCUGCAGCCGGUUGGGGGUGAUGGAAAUCAAAAAGGAGACGAGAUGGCAUGAACUACAGUUAUUAAAAUUUGGAUUUGAGGGCUGAUCUUUUGAAAUUUUAUGGUGAGUGUUUACAUUUUUGAUUUGGCAGGGCAGAGGGGAAAAGCCAAAAUGGUCAUUUUAAUCAUCGCUUUCCCUACAAUACAGAAAGCUUAUUAGCUGCUGGUUCGGCGAAACAGUCGUCCUACAGAUGAGAAAAACCGACGUAUGCGACUUGGUUUCUUGGGUAGUUUGACUGCCUCUUCUAUGAAAGUCACUGCAAUUAUGUUGUCACUGAGUGGGAGAUUUAAUUCCAUCAUUUGCAGAACUGUUUCUGCACUAUUCCACUUUUUACACAGCGCUUUGAAAAUCCUCUUGUAAAGCUUGUAGGGGUUCAUUAAGAGAAUUUCAUCAAAUUUAUCAUCAAUUUCAGCCCAGAUUUUGUUGGUAAGCCUAUUGUAGAUGGCUUCAACUUCUUCCCAACUGAUGACUUUGCCUGAUUUUUUUACCACCUGCUUAACCAGUUCUUCCAUACACAUUUCCAACAAAAAUCUGUAUUCGUUUCUGUUUUCUUUCUUGUCUAUUGGACUUCGGGGUUCAUCGGUUUGUGUUUUUUUGUGAUUUUGUAUUAAAAUAUUUUUCUUGUCAAUACAGCAGUUACAAGUGUGAUUAUGAAUUUCUUCUUCUGUAUUCGUCACAUUUACAGACGUCAGGGGCAUGGCAUUUUCUUUAGGCUCUGAAAUAACAGCUGACACACUGAUUGUCUCUUCCAUGUCGGAGUCAACUAUGUUGGAAUUCUGCAUGCAGCACAGACAGGGGCAAAACAGUCGACCUACAGAUGAG
ensembl:lncRNA